UACGUAGGGUGCAAGCGUUGUUCGGAAUUACUGGGCGUAAAGGGCUCGUAGGCGGCCAACUAAGUCGGAUGUGAAAUCCCCAGGCUUAACCUGGGAACUGCAUCCGAUACUGGAUGGCUUGAAUCCGGGAGAGGGAUGCAGAAUUCCAGGUGUAGCGGUGAAAUGCGUAGAUAUCUGGAGGAAUACCGGUGGCGAAGGCGGCAUCCUGGACCGGCAUUGACGCUGAGGAGCGAAAGCUAGGGGAGCAAACGGG
rnacentral:rRNA from 1 species